rnacentral:rRNA from 1 species
CGGGUAACGCCGUGCCAGCCGCCGCGGUAAUACGGAGGGUGCAAGCGUUAUGCGGAUUUAUUGGGGUUAAAGGGUCCGUAGGCGGACUUAUAAGUCAGUGGUGAAAGCCUGUCGCUUAACGAUAGAACGGCCAUUUAUACUGUAAGUCUUGAGUAUAAUUGAGGUAGCUGGAAUAAGUAGUGUAGCGGUGAAAUGCAUAGAUAUUACUUAGAACACCAAUUGCGAAGGCAGGUUACCAAGUUAUAACUGACGCUGAGGGACGAAAGCGUGGGGAGCGAACAGGAUUAGAUAGCCUGUAGUC